rnacentral:rRNA from 1 species
CGACGGCGGUGAUUGGCACCUCGAAGUCGGCUCAACACAACCAGGCGCACAAGCAGCACCCAA